UAAAACGUAGGAGGCGAGCGUUAUCCGGAUUUACUGGGCGUAAAGCGUACGCAGGUGGCUUCGUUAGUCGGACAUGAAAGCUCCUGGCUUAACUGGGAGAGGUUGUUCGAUACUGCGGGGCUUGAGGUUGGGAGAGGGACGUGGAAUUCCCGGUGUAGUGGUGGAAUGCGUAGAUAUCGGGAGGAACACCAGUGGCGCAAGCGGCGUCCUGGCCCACACCUGACGCUGAGGUACGAAAGCGUGGGUAGCAAACAGGAUUAGAUACCCUGGUAGUCCACGCUGUAAACGAUGUCAACUGGGUGUCGGUAGUUUUACACUAUCGGUGCCGAAGCUAACGCGUUAAGUUGACCGCCUGGGGACUACGGCCGCAAGGCUAAAACUCAAAGGAAUUGACGGGGGCCCGCAC
rnacentral:rRNA from 1 species